rnacentral:rRNA from 1 species
AUUGAACGCUGGCGGCAUGCCUUACACAUGCAAGUCGAACGGUAACAGGUCUUCGGAUGCUGACGAGUGGCGAACGGGGGAGUAAUACAUCGGAACGUGCCCGAUCGUGGGGGCUAACGGAGCGAAAGCUUUGCUAAUACCGCAUACGAUCUACGGAUGAAAGCAGGGGACCGCAAGGCCUUGCGCGGACGGAGCGGCAGAUGGCAACUUAGGUAGUGGGUGGGAUAAAAGCUUACCGAGCCGACGAUCUGUAGCUGGUCUGAGAGGACGACCAGCCACACUGGGACUGAGACACGGCCCAGACUCCUACGGGAGGCAGCAGUGAGGAAUUUUGGACAAUGGGCGAAAGCCUGAUCCAGCCAUGCCGCGUGCAGGAUGAAGGCCUUCGGGUUGUAAACUGCUUUUGUACGGAACGAAAAGACUCCUUCUAAUAAAGAGGGUCCAUGACGGUACCGUAAGAAUAAGCACCGGCUAACUACGUGCCAGCCGCCGCUGUAA